UACGAAGGGGGCUAGCGUUGCUCGGAAUUACUGGGCGUAAAGGGAGCGUAGGCGGAUAGUUUAGUCAGAGGUGAAAGCCCAGGGCUCAACCUUGGAAUUGCCUUUGAUACUGGCUAUCUUGAGUAUGGGAGAGGUUAGCGGAACUCCGAGUGUAGAGGUGAAAUUCGUAGAUAUUCGGAAGAACACCAGUGGCGAAGGCGGCUAACUGGCCCAUUACUGACGCUGAGGCUCGUAAGCGUGGGGAGCAAACAGG
rnacentral:rRNA from 1 species